GCUCUUCUGAGUCGGGGAGAAUUGGGCAUCGUCACGUGCUCUGUCUGCGCCCCGAGUGGCCUCUUCUCCUCCUCCACAGACACCUCGGGGAGGGGUCAUCCUUCAGACACGCUGAGCCUAGGCUGCCCGCCCUUCCGCAGCCCCGCCCUGGCCGGCUCCUCGCGGCCCACUAGGCCGGUUCUUCCCCACGUCAGGACCCCGCCACCCCACUCUGCCCCUCCACCCGAGGCUGCCUUAUCCUUUUGCUUUCUCUCUUAAAUCUGCUGCCCGUUACUGCUAUUCUACCCUUUGACACUUUGCUUUGCUUUGGGACCAUGGAUAUUCCUUGGGGCAGCCACCAAGGAUGAAUAAGGUUUGAAUGGGGAGGCACUGGCCUCGGAGCUCCUUGCUGCUGACAUCAGUUGUGCCCUUGUAGGAGACGUCCUGGUCCUGUCUGCCUCAGAGGCUUCC
rnacentral:lncRNA from 1 species